UGGCGGCGUGCUUAACACAUGCAAGUCGAACGAUGAAGCCCACUUGUGGGUGGAUUAGUGGCGAACGGGUGAGUAACACGUGAGUAACCUGCCCUUGACUCUGGGAUAAGCCUGGGAAACUGGGUCUAAUACCGGAUAUGACCUUCCAUCGCAUGGUGGUUGGUGGAAAGCUUUUGUGGUUUUGGAUGGACUCGCGGCCUAUCAGCUUGUUGGUGGGGUAAUGGCCUACCAAGGCGACGACGGGUAGCCGGCCUGAGAGGGUGACCGGCCACACUGGGACUGAGACACGGCCCAGACUCCUACGGGAGGCAGCAGUGGGGAAUAUUGCACAAUGGGCGCAAGCCUGAUGCAGCGACGCCGCGUGAGGGAUGACGGCCUUCGGGUUGUAAACCUCUUUCAGUAGGGAAGAAGCGUAAGUGACGGUACCUGCAGAAGAAGCGCCGGCUAACUACGUGCCAGCAGCCGCGGUAAUACGUAGGGCGCAAGCGUUAUCCGGAAUUAUUGGGCGUAAAGAGCUCGUAGGCGGUUUGUCGCGUCUGCCGUGAAAGUCCGGGGCUCAACUCCGGAUCUGCGGUGGGUACGGGCAGACUAGAGUGAUGUAGGGGAGACUGGAAUUCCUGGUGUAGCGGUGAAAUGCGCAGAUAUCAGGAGGAACACCGAUGGCGAAGGCAGGUCUCUGGGCAUUAACUGACGCUGAGGAGCGAAAGCAUGGGGAGCGAACAGGAUUAGAUACCCUGGUAGUCCAUGCCGUAAACGUUGGGCACUAGGUGUGGGGGACAUUCCACGUUUUCCGCGCCGUAGCUAACGCA
rnacentral:rRNA from 1 species